UACGUAGGUGGCAAGCGUUGUCCGGGAUUAUUGGGCGUAAAGCGCGCGCAGGCGGUCCCUUAAGUCUGAUGUGAAAGCCCACGGCUCAACCGUGGAGGGUCAUUGGAAACUGGAAGACUUGAAUGCAGAAGAGGAAAGUGGAAUUCCAUGUGUAGCGGUGAAAUGCGUAGAUAUGUGGAGGAACACCAGUGGCGAAGGCGACUUUCUGGCCUACAACUGACGCUGAGGCGCGAAAGCGUGGGGGGCAAACAGG
rnacentral:misc_RNA from 1 species